AUAGUGAGCUCACUGCUGCUGGAGCCGGAGGACUGCGCGGCAGCCGUGGCCUACUGCCUGCCGCGCGAGGCGCUGUGGCUGCUGACCAGGGCUGGGCACCUGGUCCGCGCCAACGCGGCGCGCUGCCCCAUGAGCGUGCUGCACCGCGUGUGCCCGCCGCCGCCCCCUGCGCCGCAGCCUUGCUGUCUGCACCUGUACAGCCACCUCACGGAUCUCGGAGGCGCCUUCUCCUCCUGGGAGAUCGUGCGCCAGCACUGGGGCGAGUUGCGCUGCAGCUCUGUGGCCUGCGCCUGGAAGAACAAGAACCGGUGGGUGCGGGAGCCGGCGAGGGUCUGGCGGGCGGAAGGAGCGGCAGGGUCCGCGCCAACAGGCUCUUCCCACUCGCAGGUACCUGCCAGUGGUGGGGCACACGGACGGCACGCUGUCGGUGCUGGAGUGGCUCUCGUCGAAGACUGUCUUCCAAACGGAGGCGCACAGCCCGGGCCCGGUUGUCGCCAUCGCAUCCACCUGGAACAGCAUUGUGUCUUCGGGUGGGGACCUGACGGUGAAGAUGUGGCGCGUCUUCCCCUAUGCCGAGGAGAGCCUGAGCCUGCUGCGCACCUUCUCCUGCUGCUACCCGGCCGUGGCGCUCUGUGUGCUAGGCAGACGCGUCACCGCGGGCUUUGAGGACCCAGACAGCGCUACCUACGGCCUGGUGCAGUUUGGCCUGGGCGACAGUCCGCGAUUAGACCACCGGCCCCAGGACGACCCCACGGACCACAUCACUGGUGAGGGGGCAGCACGGGUGAAGCCCAGCCACCGCCCAGCUCCGGUUCCUGACCCUGAACCCUGCCGCCAGGCCUGUGCUGCUGCCCCACGCUCAAACUGUAUGCCUGCUCCAGCCUGGACUGCACCGUUCGCAUCUGGACUGCUGAGAACCGCCUCCUGCGGCCCUGGCUUUCUGCAGCAACAGUGGAGACCUGGUGCUGGCGCUGGGAUCCCGCCUCUGCCUGGUGUCCCACAGGGUCUACCUGCCUACAUCCUACCUAGUUAAGAAGAUGUGCCAGAAGGCCCCAGACGUGGUGGACGACCCUCCGCUGCCACUGAUGAGCCAGGAGUCACUGACUUCCGCCCAACUGCAGAGGCUCACCAACCUCCAU
rnacentral:sRNA from 1 species